rnacentral:rRNA from 1 species
AGUGAACGCUGGCGGUAGGCCUAACACAUGCAAGUCGAACGGCAGCACAGUAAGAGCUUGCUCUUACGGGUGGCGAGUGGCGGACGGGUGAGGAAUACAUCGGAAUCUACUUUUUCGUGGGGGAUAACGUAGGGAAACUUACGCUAAUACCGCAUACGACCUACGGGUGAAAGCAGGGGAUCUUCGGACCUUGCGCGAUUGAAUGAGCCGAUGUCGGAUUAGCUAGUUGGCGGGGUAAAGGCCCACCAAGGCGACGAUCCGUAGCUGGUCUGAGAGGAUGAUCAGCCACACUGGAACUGAGACAAGGUCCAGACUCCUACGGGAGGCAGCAGUGGGGAAUAUUGGACAAUGGGCGCAAGCCUGAUCCAGCCAUACCGCGUGGGUGAAGAAGGCCUUCGGGUUGUAAAGCCCUUUUGUUGGGAAAGAAAAGCAGCAGGUUAAUACCCCGCUGUUCUGACGGUACCCAAAGAGUAAGCACCGGCUAACUUCGUG